AUUUUUAAUAUAAAUUCAAUAACUUAAUUUAAUUUUUUUUUAUAAAGAUAACUGUUAUAUUAAAUAUUUAGAAUUUGAAAGAAUUCCAUCGGCAAAUACCUAUUAUUAAAUUUUAUUUAAUGCAAGUAUGAAUAAAGCUAAAUGAAUUGAAGUUCUAGAUAUAUGCAAUCCCAGCCACCAAUCUCAAGGUUCCUCUUUCAAUGUCAUUGGAUACAAUCCUAAGGCUGGAAGGUUAGUUUCACUUGACAAGGCUUACAUUUUGUUCUUCCUUGUAUAUUAUAUAUAUAUAUAUAUAUUAUUUUCCUUCAAAUAUGUCUUUGAUUUGAACAAGUUGUCACCAUUUGUACCAAUAUUUGUAUCAACUACUCAGCAAUUUAACUCAGUUUUUUCAUAGAUUAGUUAUCCAGCAACUGCAAUCUUCACUAGUACUUUCAAAUAAACACCCAUACCCAACACAAACUGUUAGAUCACCAGUAGUGCCAAAAACAUAAGUUGAUAAGAAAUGGGCCCAACAUUGUAUAUCAAGCUAUCCAAUAUAAACAUCUUAAUGUUGUAUUAAUCUCUAUCAUUGCCUUGUAUCUUAGGUUCUUUCACCAGUUCCUUCUAUUUUUUGAGGUACACUUAGUAGCAACAUCCAUGUUUCGUUUCUUAGCAUCUAUCUUCUACAUUGUGGUUGCUUCUAACACAACUGGGAUUGUUUGGGAAGAUGAACUUAAACCGAAUUGGUUAAGGUGGGGAUUUUGGCUUUCCCCGAUGACAUAUGGUGAGAUAGGCCUUGCUUUAAAUGAAUUUCUUGCUCCAAGAUGGCAAAAGGCAUUGACAGCAAAUACUACCAUAGGGCAAGAAACACUUGAAAGCCGUGGAUUGCGCUUUCACGAAUACUUAUUUUGGAUAUCACUUGGUGCUUUACUUGGGUUUAUAAUAAUUUUCAACAUUGGAUUUACCUUGGCCUUGACGUUCUUAAACCCUCUUGGUUCUCGUGCUAUUAUUUCAAAUGAAAAGCUUUCCCAAAUUUAAGGAUCUGAAGAUUCCUUCAGUGUUGCUAAUGCAGAAGCAAAAUCUACAAAUUCUCCUAACUAUACUACAAAAUCUCAUAAAAGGUCGUGUAUUUUUAGAUUUUUCUUCAUUCUCUUAUAAUUAUUGAAACCAUUGCUUCACAUGAUUCUUUUCCUUUAUUUAUCGUCUUAUAAGUUUAUCCCUGUUUCAUUUAAUUAGGGUGGGUAAUAUUAUUUUACAAGUCGAGUGGUUUUACCUUUUGAACCCCAACUCUGGUGUUUCAAAAUGUGCAAUACUAUGUUGACAUCCCUGCGGUAAUCAUAUAAACAAAUCUCUUAUAAAUAUUAUGUACCUGUUAAAUAUUUAGAACUAAUUGGAUCAAAUUACAUUGGUUAAUUGUGCCAUUUUUCUUUGAUUUCUGGCAAUGAGAGAAAGGGGGUUCACUCAGAAAAAACUCCAACUUCUUUGUGAUAUUACAUGUGCAUUUAGGCCUGGUGUUCUUACAGCAUUGAUGGGUGUCAGUGGAGCUGGGAAAACAACUCUUAUAAAUGUUCUUGCACGAAGAAAAGCUAGUGGCACUAUUGAAGGAGAUAUUAGAAUUUGAGGGUUUCCCAAGGUUCAGGAGACGUUUGCUACGAUUUUGGGUUACUGUGAACAAACCGACAUACAUUCUCCACAAAUUACAAAAGAAGAAUCAGUGGUUUCUUCUACUUGGCUGCGUUUGCAUCCUGAAAUUGAUUCAAAAACUAAAUUUGUAUGACCUAUAUAUAAGGAAGUUAAAUUUACUCUUUAAUCUACAACAAUAGUUUAAACAUUAUUUUACUUUUGUUGCUACUGCACAUCUUUACAGGAAUUUGUGAAAGAAGUCCUUGAGAUCAUUGAGCUUGAUGAAAUCAAAGAUUGCUUGGUUGGCAUGCUUGGUGUUACUAAGCAGAGAUAGUGGCUUACGAUAUCUGUGGAGCUUCUAUUAUUUUCAUGGAUGAACCUACAACUAGAUUGGAUGCAAGAGCAGCUGCAAUUGUUAUGCGAGCAGUGAAGAAUGUGGCUGAAACAACAAGAAUUUUGGUCUUGAGUAUGACCUGGAUCUCUUCAAUAUUGUUGCUGUUCUAGAUUUUAACAUGUAAGUCUCAACAUAUUCAAUGCUUCUCAUGUAUAUCAUUUUCCUUAAUAUUUGAUGUGCUUUGUGAUUUUCCCCUUUUAAAUGACUAAUUAUUUCAUGCAUUUGUUUCAGGCUAGCCAUGGAAAGUAAGAGCUUGAAUGAAUGCUUCGUGAAAUUUUUUUUGACUCUUUAUUUCCAUCUAUCGUGCAUUUCAUUUGAUUGGAGUUUGUCUGACUUGGUUAUUGAUACAGAUUCCAUUCUAAGCUUGUUUUGGCAUCUCUAGAAACUGCUACAGAUGCAAAUUAUGCUGCAAUUUUAGGAGUUAUUGGCCAUGAGAACUCCAAAAGCACACUGAUGAGGCUGCUGCCAAAGUUAAUGUUGUACUAGCGAGAACUGAAGAACAAGGGCAGAUGAUCGAAUCACUUCACACCUCUGAGAUGAAGAGUCAGUGUGAUGAGAAAAAGUCCGACUUUAUCUUUUGUCAGAAAUUUCUUGGAGAGAUGUAAAAUAUGGUCAAAGAAUUCAAGAACUUAGUUUUUCA